CCAUGUUUAACUCCUUAAAAGCCGCAUGGUAUUAUCCUGGGGAAGCGACUUGAAUAGCGUUUCUUAAAACACCACAGCUUCCUUGCUGGCCCGCUCGCUUCUUUGCCUCUUUGCCUCCCUGACUGUCUGUCUCCAAUCUAUUCUCCUUCUACAUAUUGCUGCCAAAGUUAAACAACUAGUAUCAAACUUUCAGUUUGAUUCAGCAUGCCCAAAACGAGUUCUUCAAAGAAACAACUAAAUGCUGAUAUAGAGCAGGGAAAACCUUCUCCAUUGAAUGUGCCCGAAAAGAUUUAUUCAAAGAAACCUAUACAAGAACAAGAAAAUGCAGACGUAGAGCAGGCAAAACCCUCUUCAACACCAAUGAAAGUAGGUAAUGAGAUAGAUGAAAUUUUCUCUGGAAAGAAGAGGAAGAAACCUGAACAAAAGAAAGUUGAUAAGGCAAAUGUAAAUGGGGAAGAUAAACCAAAAUUGACGACAAAGAAGAAGAAGAAGAAGAAGAGUAAAGAAGAUGAAGAGGGAAGGUUUACGGACCCGCCUUGUAGGUCUCGGAAGAAAACAGAAGAUGGAUUGAACAUAUAUACGGAAGAGGAAUUGGGUUUUAGCAAGAGCAGUGGUGGAGAUACCCCUCUUUGCCCAUUUGACUGUGAUUGCUGCUUUUGAUGAUCCUUGCUGAUGGGUUUAGCUGCUUCCUUGAUAGAGUGGACUUAUUGAGAUAUCAAUGUAGUUUUGUGAUUCUGAAUUUUUAGUUUGCUGAAAAUUCUGUGAAAAAAUUUCCCGUGCACUGGAAUUUUGGUUGCAUGAAACUUGGUAUUUUAAUCAAUUUUGCCAGCUUUCUUAGAACUCUUUUGCCUGGGUGGAUUUGUUAUAUCUUAGAUAUUCUUCUGAUUUUGAUCCACUAGCAAUUCCUGUACAUGUUCUUCUAUGAUGAAUUGACUAUUGAGAA